rnacentral:lncRNA from 1 species
GUCCAGCUUUGUUUAUCUUUCACAGUAUUUCAUACCUGCUCCUAAUGCAGAUAGUCAUUAUUCAUUUAACUAUCGCUCUCACCUACUAUGUGUGUUCUGCUUUGUACUCUGAGUGCUGAGGUCAGCCCCAGUAUGUGCCUCCCAUAUGAGAACUGGCAAACAUUCUCUUUACUCACAAGUUAAUAGAGUGAAAUAAUGAACAAUGUGUUUUGUCAGAUAGGUACCCAUCUACCACUGAGGUGGUAUUUUGUUAAGAGCAAUCUUUGUGCUUAAAUAACUCUUAAGAGCAAUCUUUAUGUUUAAAUAACUCAGGUUUAAAUGUGCUCAGAAAGAGGGAACUAAGUGACCUGACUGCUCUGAACAGGGUCAUAAGGAGAGAAUCUAACACAUUGCUUUAGUUUUGUUUCAACUUCCAUAUCACAAGAGGGAUGUUACACAUUGUAUUAAAUUCUAUACUUUAAAAAAAAAAAAAUCAGCUUAUUUUCCUUCUUUCUUAGUUUGUCUGUAUGAUUUUUAAUUUCAAUAUUUUCUUAAACCUCACACCUUCCUCUUUUGAAUUUCUACUUCCUUUUAAAGUGGCAAUUGCCAAUGUUUUUGUGUAUCUUUUGUCUUAUAUUAGUUAGCACAUUUCUCUAAUUAUAACCUGGGGAAUUUAUGUGCGGGUUACAGGGAAGACUAGAUUUUUACAUCAAAAUUAAUUCUGUUUUAUUUGCUUCUAAUUUAUAGGUGAAAAUGCUAUCUUACAUGGAAACCUAUUUUAUUCCAUAAAACUAAAUGAACCGUAACCCAGAAGUGCAGUGAGACUCACACAGCAUGACCACAUUAUUUCUGAAAGCUGAAGAGUUGCCAGUCUGCUGAUCUCAGACUUCAUGAGCCACACAGUUCAGUUCAAAUUGUUUCCCUGUAAUAGCUUUGAGCCUCUGCCAAACAGCCACCGCAGGACUCUAAAAAGUACAAGGAUGAAUUUGUACAAUCUUCUGGAAAAGCAAAGCUAUUUGGCAGUAAGUAUUAGAAGCCUUGAGAAUGUAUCUAACCUUUGACCCAGUAACUUUAUCUUACAAACUUCUCCUAAGAAUCCUAAAUAUUAAAAAAUUUGGAUAAAGAUGAAUGCACGUGUAUUUAUUAAUAAAAUGGCCAAAAACUAUAAACAGAACACACUCCAUCAGUGAUGUAUGCCAGGUGUUUUCUGAUUGCCCCACCUGCUUCUCUCUCAAAUUGCCCUCUGACAUGAGAGACUAGCCUUCCUAAGACUCUGAUUAUAGCUCCUGUACUUUCUAGCUUUGGGAUGAACUUUGCUAAUGGUAGUUUUGACAGAAAAUUGAAGAUGAGAAGAAUGAAGUAGAAGUAGUUAUUUUCCCUGUCCCCUUUCUGCAAUAGCCUCAGGCUGGCCAUGAUUCUUGAACAAAGGUAAAAGAGCCUUUCAGGUGGCCUUCUUACACAACUCAAUCUCCUUAAGGUUCAGUAAUAAAAGCUUCUCUUGUCCUUUGAAGCCUAAGGAUACUGAUGCAUUCUGUUCUGUGCCCCGCCCCCAUGCUCACUGUUUUUAACUCAGGGAUAUUGUGCUAUCACUAACACUCUAUCCCAUGUUUAUUAGCAAAUUCUCCUCGAAUUACCCAAUCUGAGUACAUCAAAUAUGUUUCACUGCCAAGAAUCUGGUGCAAUCACACAGCAUGUUUAAGUAUACUAAGCAACACAGUCACUAUGGAAUAAUAUGUAACAUAGAAAGAUAAUCACAAAAAGUGCAACAAAAAAGGUAAAUCUAGUAUGAACACAGGUACAUAAAAAUAAAGCAAAUAACAUUCAUCAUGAAAAUGUAAUAAGUUUUAAAACAUACUACUUUUUAAAUGAGAAAAUGAUUAGUGACUUAAAAGGAAAGACACUGUACAUCAUACCUAGAGGAAUUUACAAAUACCUUGCAGAAGUGGCAUUAGAAAUGAUUCUUCAUAAUUAAGUAGGACAAAUGAGGGAAAAAAAACUGGCAGGGAGGUGGCGAAACAUUUUUUGCUGAGAAUGAGGCCUGUGAAAAGGUAAGUGAAAGCGCUUGCAGAAAACCAGGAUUCUCUUCUGAAAAGCCUGGGGUAAACAGAGUUGGGAAGGAGCAGGGGAUUUCAUAGAAAAGGGUACUGGGAAUGUGAUUUGGGGCCAGAAUGUCCAAAGUUUCAUAGCUGAUGCUAAAGGUCUUUUCAUGGCCUGGGAGAAAGUUUGGGGAGUGGAAUUAAAUGAACCAUAGAAGGGUUUAAGGAAAGGAUAACAAGUUUAGAUUUCUCUCCAAAGAAAAACUCUCCUCCACUGUGGAGAAAGGAGGACUAAGAGUUCCUGGGGAAACAAAAAAAGACAAAGCCUGAACUAAGAAGUUUUACUAAGGAGUAAAAAGGAUAAAGAGACAAUGGAAAAGAUGUCAGAUGCUUCACUAAGUUGGGAUUAAUAUAAUUAGUAAACUAAUGAAAGACAGGGGUUGUCCAGCAUACAUCUGUAAAAGGGAACAAUGAUACCUAGGGUACGCUUAAAAUCUGGAUAAACUUCCCUGCCACUUUAGUUUGAAAAGGGUUCUAAUGGCCAAAAAUAUUGUUUUCAUUUUUUGUUACAGUUGUAUAUCAUGCUGAAACGCAGAUCUUUAUAAUUAAAUUUCUUAUAUUUCUGAACCUUUAGAGGACUAAAUUCCCAGAUAUGUAAUUAGUAUUUCAAAUAUUUUAAUGAUUUUAUUACACAGUUCCAACUGAUUGCAAAAAAAGUUAUAGCCAAUUUACAAUUCCACCAUGAGUUCUUAUUUUAACCUAGUUAGCAUUAAAUACCGUCAUUUUUAAAAGUCUUUGAGCAUUUGAUGGG